GAGGGUAUAGCUCAGUGGUAGAGUGCAUGCUUAGCAUGUAGGAGGCCCUGGGUUCAAUCCCCAGUAUCUCCA
rnacentral:tRNA from 1 species